rfam:Blautia sp. CAG:37, WGS project CBJJ01000000 data, contig: 131
GAAGUGGAUAGAGGUCGCAUUACUUCAAGAGUACCUUUUCGGAUGCCUCAGCAGCAAAAGAAGAAGAGGAAAAGGGAAGAAUGCCGAAGGACAUCCGGCGCUGAACCGGUAUGCUCCUGGGCGCAGGUUGAAAAAAUCUGCGACUGUCAUCGAGAGAUGGAGAGCUAUCUGAUCA